rnacentral:rRNA from 1 species
GAUGAACGCUAGCGGAAGGCAUAAUACAUGCAAGUCGAACGGUGUAGCAAUACACAGUGGCGCACGGGUGCGUAACACGUAUGCAACCUACCUUACAUUGGGGGAUAGCCUUUCGAUAGGGAGAUUAAUACCGCAUAAGACAGUAACUAGGCAUCUAGUAGCUGUUAAAGAUUUAUCGAUGUAAGCUGGGCAUGCGUCCAAUUAGUUAGUUGGCGAGGUAAUGGCUCACCAAGACGAUGAUUGGUAGGGGAACUGAGAGGUCAAUCCCCCACACUGGCACUGAGAGGAGGUGCAGACUCCUACGGGAGGCAGCAGUAGAGAAUAUUGGGCAAUGAGCGCAAGCCUGACCCAGCCAUGCCGCGUGCAGGAAGAAGACGUUAUGCGUUGUAAACUGCUUUUAUACAGGAAGAAACGACUCUUGCGAGAGGCAUUGACGGUACUGUAUGAAUAAGCACCGGCUAACUCCGUGCCAGCCGCCGCAGUAAGAC